GAAGCGUAGUUUAACUGGUAUCGACUGGGCACGCACCACAAAGCGCUGGUCGCAACAGCCGCAGCAGCAACAGGAGAAGCAGCAUAAGGAACUCCACGCCGCUUGCAGCUUGAACGGCGCGCUGCCCGGGAUUGCAACAUCAAGGCGAUGAGUGCGAAUAUUGAGGUUGACCUUCGACAGCUGAUGAUGACCUGCUGUUCCCCUUUGGCAGAGCACGCCAGCCGCACGUUGACCAAGCGGAGCUGCUCGUUCGGUGGCUCCCUCCGAAGCAGCACGGUGGUAAUGUCUACCGCCG
rnacentral:misc_RNA from 1 species